rnacentral:rRNA from 1 species
GACGUAGGGCGCGAGCGUUGUCCGGAUUUAUUGGGCGUAAAGAGCUCGUAGGCGGCUUGUUGCGUCGGCUGUGAAAACCCGCAGCUCAACUGUGGGCUUGCAGCCGAUACGGGCAGGCUUGAGUUCGGUAGGGGAGACUGGAAUUCCUGGUGUAGCGGUGAAAUGCGCAGAUAUCAGGAAGAACACCCGUGGCUAAGGCGGCUCUCUAGUACGGUACUGACGCUGAGACGCGAAAGCGUGGGGAGCGAACAGG